GGGAGGGAGGAAAGAAGGAAGGAAGAAAAAGCAAAGGGACAUGGAAACACUUUAGGAGUAGGUGAUUCACUCAACCAGCCUUUCUGAAACAGGCAUGUGCAAGAUGAUGAGGAUUUACCAGACAUCCAGAGUCCCCACUCCAUGAGGAUUCGGCCCAGUGAAGGGAAAAAGACUCAGAUAGAGAAAAGAGAAUACAGUAUUUCCAGAAAUUUCUUCAUAAGCAUUUAGUGAUUUUCAAAGUUCCAAAUAUACACAAAUACCUCUGCCUGAAACCCGAGAACAGUGCUGGAGAGAAAUGAACAUGGUUAUUUUCAAACAAGAUGGAGGACUGUGUGUAGGUGUCAUGGGAAAUUAUCAUGACUUGUCCUGAGGAAGCUUUUUAAACCUCAGUUAAAUUAAAUAACUCUUUUCUUUGACUCCUAAACCUAGUUCACUUUUUAUUUUUCUUAUUAAAAAUAAGGCCAUUUGGGACUAAGAAUUGAGAACAACUAAUGAAGAUCCACAUUCAGGAACAAUUUCUAUCCCUGUAAAGUGCAACCUUUCCCUCCCUCGCUCAGUCUUAUUCUUUCCAAUUAGUGUUCUCUUCAUUACCUCAGAAUAACAGGAAU